AUUGAACGCUGGCGGCAGGCCUAACACAUGCAAGUCGAGCGAGCGGCGGACGGGUGAGUAAUGUCUGGGAAACUGCCUGAUGGAGGGGGCUAACGAAUGGAAACGGAAGCACAUACCGCAUACCUUUGGAUGUGCGUAGGUGGGAUUAGCUAGUAGGUGGGGUAAAGGCUCACCUGGGCGACGAUCCCUAGCUGGUCUGAGAGGAUGACCAGGCACACCGGAACUGAGACACGUUCCAGACUCCGACGGGAGGCAGCAGUGGGGAAUAUUGCACAAUGGGCGCAAGCCUGAUGCAGCCAUGCCGCGUGUAUGAAGAGGGCCUUCGGGUUGUAAAGUACUUACAGCGGGGAGGCGUUACCCGCAGAAGAAGCACCGGCUAACUCCGUGCCAGCAGCCGCGGUAAUUC
rnacentral:rRNA from 1 species